rnacentral:lncRNA from 1 species
UGUUUUACACAUAAUUUCAUUCAUUUUUGCUUGAGUUGAUUCAAAUUGUCUUCUCUUACCGGUGAUUUAGUUGAUUUUUGUCACUGUUUUUGUCUCCCUAUGAGAGUGUUGCUCUCUGGCGGUAGAUAUAUGUUAGCCACAUGUUUGUAUUGUCCGUUUCUUUCUGUUUUCUUUAACGUACGACUUUUAAUUAUCCUUCCGAUAAAGUCUCUGAAGGUGUUCAAUCUUCCCUAUCACUAAUUUGGAAUUAAGUUAUGGAUUCAAUUUUACCAUGGCCUAGAUACUUGUGGAGAAGGAUGCAUCA